rnacentral:rRNA from 1 species
GCGUGUGUGAAGAAGGCCUUCGGGUUGUAAAGCACUUUUGUCCGGAAAGAAAUCCCCUGCUCUAAUACAGCGGGGGGAUGACGGUACCGGAAGAAUAAGCACCGGCUAACUACGUGCCAGCAGCCGCGGUAAUACGUAGGGUGCGAGCGUUAAUCGGAAUUACUGGGCGUAAAGCGUGCGCAGGCGGUUUUGUAAGACAGGCGUGAAAUCCCCGAGCUCAACUUGGGAAUGGCGCUUGUGACUGCAAGGCUAGAGUAUGUCAGAGGGGGGUAGAAUUCCACGUGUAGCAGUGAAAUGCGUAGAGAUGUGGAGGAAUACCGAUGGCGAAGGCAGCCCCCUGGGACGUCACUGACGCUCAUGCACGAAAGCGUGGGGAGCAAACAGGAUUAGAUACCCUGGUAGUCCACGCCCUAAACGAUGUCAACUAGUUGUUGGGGAUUCAUUUCUUCAGUAACGUAGCUAACGCGUGAAGUUGACCGCCUGGGGAGUACGGUCGCAAGAUUAAAACUCAAAGGAAUUGACGGGGACCCGCACAAGCGGUGGAUGAUGUGGAUUAAUUCGAUGCAACGCGAAAAACCUUACCUACCCUUGACAUGCCACUAACGAAGCAGAGAUGCAUCAGGUGCCCGAAAGGGAAAGUGGACACAGGUGCUGCAUGGCUGUCGUCAGCUC